rnacentral:sRNA from 1 species
UAAGAACGCUGCCGAAGACAGUAGGUGCCGUAAGGCAUAAGGAUCAAAACGCCUACCGAGGUCCAAGUAUUCUGAGUUAAGAUUACACAAGGCCUUAUUGCGAAGCAGUAAGGUCUUUUUUUUA